AAGGCACUAGUAAAGCUAUUACUCCGCCUUGUCAAGGCGGAAUCGUGGGUUAAACCCCCACGUGCCUUG
rnacentral:tRNA from 1 species